CCCGCACAAGGCGGUGGAGCAUUGUUGGUUUAAUUCGAAGCAACGCGAAGUAACCUUACAGGUCUUGACAUCCCGAUGCUUAUUUCUAGAGAUAGAAAGUUACUUCGGUACAUCGGUGACAGGUGGUGCAUGGUUGUCGUCAGCUCGUGUCGUGAGAUGUUGGGUUAAGUCCCGCAACGAGCGCAACCCCUAUUGUUAGUUGCCAUCAUUCAGUUGGGCACUCUAGCGAGACUGCCGGUAAUAAACCGGAGGAAGUGGGGAUGACGUCAAAUCAUCAUGCCCCUUAUGACCUGGGCUACACACGUGCUACAAUGGUUGGUACAACGAGUUGCGAGUCGGUGACGGCGAGCUAAUCUCUUAAAGCCAAUCUCAGUUCGGAUUGUAGGCUGCAACUCGCCUACAUGAAGUCGGAAUCGCUAGUAAUCGCGGAUCAGCACGCCGCGGUGAAUACGUUCCCGGGCCUU
rnacentral:rRNA from 1 species